AAGUUAGCAGUCCGGGGUAAGUAGAAUCUUCUGCCCCAUCGUCCGGAAAAGGCCAGUUGAAGGCACAGCUAAUGGAAUUACGUCUGCGGACCAGUCGUGGUGGUACGGCGGGCGCCGUGUCGACGAACGGACUGGGCCAGAUGAAUUCAGUCUGGUAUGAGAACGGUAGCCUCUAUCUGCAAAAGCAGGGUAUCUGCGGAAAGCUGAAUAUCUUGGGUAUUGUUCGGUGCCUUCAAAUCUUGUGACUUACUACCAUAUAUGGGCAUAUUAAUUUAUAAAGGCAGGCCGAGCCGAUGACCUCAUCUCAAGAUGGCUGCUACCUACAUUCCAGUUAGUGUUGUGAAGCUUAAACAAAAUAAACACGGAAUAUGUUUAUACACACAGAAAGCCAGGACUCGUCUGCCUGUGACCGACCGUUAUUGAUCACCACACAAGGCCAGCUUCGAUUUGGUCUGUGUUUGAGCUAUAACUAACAUGGGGGAUAUCAAUUGAAUCCUUUGGUUGGUAAGAACACAUUUAGCCUAAUGCCAUGUUAUUUGAUGAUGUAUGACGUAAUGGCAACAUCGAAUGUCCACCAAGUGACUAUAUCUUAGCACAUCAAAAAUAUGAUGUCGCCUGCUUAUGCGCUGUAGGCAUCUGCUACACAAGAGAAGGCUACUAUGGCACCUUGACAGUCUUGUAGCCAUUGAGAUAAGCUUUCAAGGGAUACGCAGUUGACCUGGGUGGGACAAAGCAAGGUCUAGAACAUUUUAUGCGUAAUGCGAACUAUUGCUACCUGGCUCAGAGACGAGACACACCGAGCACCCUGCAUUAAACAGAUUUCAUCGCUUUAGCAUAAAAUAUGGCUUCUCAAGCAGGGGAAAAAAACUAAGAAUAUCGAACAGGAACCUAAAACGAAGGCAGCUAUGAAUAAGUAUAGUGACAGAAGCAUGAAAUUAAAUACUGGAGUCGGACUCAGAUCAAGUGGAGCGAGUUGGACAACAAGGAUUUUGACUGGGCCGACCACGAUUGCUUUCUAGAAGGAUUGGAUCCACUUUUAGAUCGAUUGGAGGAUGCAGAGGAUUUGGAGGAUGACGUUUGCGAGCCACCCCUCCCAGCAAGUGCACCUGCCGGUCAAGGUCUUCACCCCCCCUCCUCCCCAAUGCAGUUUCAAUCACCCUGUCUGAUGCUUCUACAUCCACUACUCCACAAACACUACACUCCUCUUCAACCACCCCCACUGCAGGCCCUGACACCAGUCCCCUCUCUGCAAGUUCAUCUGGAGGUGCGGGGGCAUGGCAUGGAGGAGAUGUAGGCCUCAACAGAGAAGAGGGAGAGGCAGUGGAAACAGCACAACAGGGGGAGAUGAAACUGAGGACAAGUGGCAUACGGUCCUUGAAGAUGAUGAGGAGCCAGAACAAUUUAGAUUUAAACCCAACUGUCCUGAAGGCCCACAGUUGGUUACUGAUGAAACAUACACCCCCUUACAGCUGUUUCAGCUACUGUAUACAUUAUCACCUCUGUACUGGGAACACUAACUAGUAAUACCAACAAGCAUGGGGAAAAGAAGCUGCAGGGGGGGAAGGAAGAUGUCCUGGAAACCUGCCACCAUGGGUGACAUGCGCAAACAUAUUUCCUAUUUCCUUGUUGAUUUACAUGGGACUGGUAAAGGUAUCAAUACUAGUUGAGCAUGUCAUCGGUUCGAGUUCCCCACUUCCAUCAUGAGUGAAAACCGAUUCUUGGCCAUCAAACGUACUCUUCACAUGAGUGACCCACAAAAGGAUCAGGAGAAUGACCAUAAGGGGACAAUUGUCUUGCAAGAGUCAAGCCCCUUUAUCAUAGAUGAGCGCAUGGUUUCCUCAAACGCUCGAAUUGGCUUGAAGCAAUAUAUGAAAAAUAAGCCGACCAAAUGGGGCUACAAGCUCUUUGUAUUAGCUGAUUCAACCACUGCCUACACGUGGAACUUUUUCAUCUAUGAAGGCAAGGCAAUCACUCCCUCUGGAAAGGGCCUUCGUUAGGACUCUGUCAUGUAGCUGAUGGACUUCCCCUUAUUUGGCAGUGGGUGCAAGCUCUGGACAACUUUAUUACCUUUUUUAGACCUCUUGAAAAUUAAAAUAGACGCUUGUGGUACCAUUCAUCCUAACAGAAUCGGUUUCCCCAAGACCAAGGUAAACGACAUGACAAAGAGCGGAGAGAGGGACCAUACAUUGGAUCAGGGCUAACAAGCUGCUUUUUGGAAAAUGGAAGGACUCAUGUAACCAUGCUCACCACACAACAUAAGGCAUUCAAUAAUGACCAUGUCUCAAGGAGGGUGAAAAAUGCCAAUGGGGCAUGGGUGAAGAAGAAUGUCCCCAUUCCAGUUUCUGUGAAGGACUAUAAUGCCAUCAUUGGGGGUGUCGACGUAUCUGAUGCUCUGAUAGGUUACUACCAGGUCUACCACAAGAUCAGGAAGUGGUAUAAGACUUUACCACUUUGUGGACAUUGCUACAGUAAAUGCUUUCAUUCUCCACAAGCAGAUGGCCAAAGCAAAAGGUCAAACGCCUCUCUCCCAGUUGGCCUUCCGAGAGCAGCUGGUGUUGGAAGUGGCUGAAUUUCGUGCCCAAAGCAACCUCACAACCAUCACAAGACCCCCCACUCAAGGAGAGAGCAACUAUCCAACACAUAUACCAAAAGACAAAAGGAAGAACUGCAAGCAUUGCACAAAACACAGGGGGGAAAAAGGCCACAUCUUCUGUCCGAAAUGCCAGUUCGCUUUUUGUUUCCUGGCAGAGAGGGACUGCUUCAAAGACUGUCACGACAUGCAUCUACUCAUUCAAUGGUUUUUCUUUAUUUUUUACUAUUUUCUACAUUGUAAAAGAAUAGUGAAGACAUCAAAACUAUGAAUUAACACAUAUGGAAUCAUGUAGUAACCUCAAAAAAGUACCAACAUUUGGAUUGGUACUAUACAGUAUAUGUUGCUUUUAUAUUAUUUGUGUAAACAGUUCAUUUGUAUGUGGGACCAAAACACUUGGAUUUCCCCUGUAUGUCCCCUGACACCAGCACAAUGUUUGAGAGAGGUUGGUGUUGUAGAAAUGUUGUAACUUUUUAAAAUAACUUUUAGGCACAUCCAGUGUGCAAAAACAGUGCAAUUACCACAUGCAGACACUUUGGAGAGGUUGAAAGGACACUUGAAUGUACCCUGGAUACCCCAUAACACCACCACAAUGUUUGAGUAAGGUUGAUAUGGUAGAAAUUGUUUUUAUACUGAACAAAUAGCAUUUAGGCAUUAAAAAUAUGUAAUAGCACUGGAAUUGUCUAAUUUCCAUACAUAUUCCACUUUGGAGAGGUUUCAGGACACUAGGAAACGUCCCUUGAGCACACCUGGCACCACUUAUUAAAACAUCUGCCCAUUUCUAGUUGUUAAAUCUAUCAAUCCCAUUUUUUUCUGAUAUUGUUCACAUGUUGUGGAAGCCACCUGAUGUGUUCCCAGCUCCAGUCAUGAAUAAUUAACUUAUACAGUUGAAGUUGGAAGUUUACAUACACCUUAGCCAAAUACAUUUAAAGUCAGUUUUUCACAAUUCCUGACAUUUAAUCCUAGUGGAUUAAAUUCCCUCUCUUAGGUCAGUUGGGAUCACCACUUUAUUUUCAGAAUGUGAAAUGUCAGAAUAAUAGUGGAGAGAAUUAUUAAUUUCAGCUUUUAUUUCUUUCAUCACAUUCCCAGUGGGUCAGAAGUUUACAUACACUCAAUUAGUAUUUGGUAGCAUUGCCUUUAAAUUGUUUAACUUCGGUCAAACAUUUCGGGUAGCCUUCCACAAGCUUCCCACAAUAAGUUGGGUGAAUUUUGGCCCAUUCCUCCUGACAGAGCUGGUGUAACUGAAUCAGGUUUGUAGGCCUUCUUGCUCGCACACGCUUUUCAGUUCUGCCCACACAUUUUCUAUAGGAUUGAGGUCAGAGCUUUGUGAUGGCCACACCAAUACCUUGACUUUGUUGUCAUUAAGCCAUUUUGCCACAACGUUGGAAGUAUGCUUGGGUUAAUUUUCCAUUUGGAAGACCCAUUUGCAACUGGAAGACCCUGACUGAUGUCUUGAGAUGUUGCUUCAAUAUAUCCACAUCAUUUUCCUCCCUCAUGAUGCCAUCUAUUUUGUGAAGUGCACCAGUCCCUCCUGCAGUGAAGCACCCCCACAACAUGAUGCUGCCACCCCCGUGCUUCACGGUUGGGAUGGUGUUCUUCAGCUUGCAAGCCUCCCCCUUUUACCUCCAACUAUAACAAUGUUCAUUAUGGCCAAACAGUUCUAUUUUUGUUUCAUCAGACCAGAGGACAUUUCUCCAAAAAGUAUGAUAUUAGUCCCUAGAGCAGUUGCAAACCGUAGUCUAGCAUUUUUAUGGUGAUUUUGGAGCAGUGGCUUCUUCCUUGCUGAGCGGCCUUUCAGGUUUUGUCGACAUAGGACUCGUUUUACUGUGGAUAUAGAUACUUUUGUACCUGAUUCCUCCAGUCCUUUACUGUUGUUCUGGGAUUGAUUUGCACUUUUCGCACCAAAGUACGUCCAUCUCUAGGAGACAGAACGCAUCUCUUUCUUGAGCGGAAUGAUGGCUACGUGGUCCCACUUGUGUCAUGCAUAAAGUAGAUAUCCUAACCGACUUGGCAAAACUAUAGUUUGUUUACAAGAAAUUUGUGGAGAGGUGGAAAAACGAAUUUUAAUGACUCCAACCUAAGUGUAUGUAAACUUCCGACUUCAACUGUAUAUAUUCUGUGUAAAUAUUCAUUAUUUCCUAUUGAUGUUUGUGAUAUAUAAACUCAGCAAAGAAAGAAAUGUCCCCUUUUCAGGACCCUGUCUUUCAAAGAUAAUUCAUACAAAUCCAAAUAACUUCCCAGAUCUUCCUUGUAAAGGGUUUAAACAUGGUUUCCCAUGCUUGUUCAAUGAACCAUAAACAAUUAAUUAACAUGCACCUGUGGAACGGUCGUUAAGGCACUAACAGCUUACAGACGGUAGGCAAUUAAGGUCACAGUUAGGAAAACUUAGGACAGUAAAGAGGACUUUCUCCUGACUCUGAAAAACACCAAAAGAAAGAUGCCCAGGGUCCCUGCUCAUUUGCGGGAACGUGCCUUAGGCAUGCUGCAAGGAGGCAGAGGCAAUAUUGCCCUGCAGAUGUAGCCAGGGCAAUAAAUUGCAAUGUCUGUACUGUGAGAUGCCCAAGACAGCGCUAUGGGGAGACAGGACGGACAGAGGAUCGUCCUCAAAGUGGCAGACCACAUGUAACAACACCUGCACAGGAUCCGUACAUCUGAACAUCACACCUGCGGGACAGGUACAGGAUGGCAACAACAACUGCCCAAGUUACACCAGGAACACACAAUCCCUCUAUCAGUGCUCAGACUGUCCGCAAUAGGCUGAGAGAGAAUGGACUGAGGGCUUGUAGGCCUGUUGUAAGGCAGGUCCUCACCAGACAUCACCGGUAACAACGUUGCCUAUGGGCACAAAACCACCGUCGCUGGACCAGACGGGGCUGGGAAAAACUGCUCUUCGCGGGCGAGACACAGUUUUGUCUCACCAGGGCUGAUGGUCGGAUUUGCGUUUAUCGUCGAAGGAAUGAGCGUUACACCGAGGCCUGUACUCUGGAGCGGGAUCGAUUUGGAGGUGGAGGGUCUGUCAUGAUCUGGGGCAAUGUGUCACAGCAUCAUCGGACUAAGUUUGUUGUCCUUGCAGGCAAUGUCAAUGCUGUGCAUUGGAAGACAUCCUCCUCCCUCAUCCCCCUUCCUGCAGGCUCAUCCUGACAUGACCCUCCAGCAUGACAAUGCCACCAGCCAUACUGCUCGUUCUGUGCGUGAUUUCCUGCAUGGCCAGCGAAGAUCCCGAAUCUCAAUCCAAUUGAGAAUGUCUGGGAACUGUUGGAUCGGAGGGUGAGGGCUAGGGCCAUUCCCCCCAGAAAUGUCUGGGAACUUACUUGGUGGAAGAAUUGGUGGAAGAGUGGGGUAACAUCUCACAGCAAGAACUGGCAAAUCUGGGGCAGUCCAUGAGGAGGAGAUGCACUGCAGUACUUAAUGCAGCUGGUGGCCACACCAGAUACUGACUGUUACUUUUGAUCCCACCUUUGUUCACGGACACAUUAUUCCCUUUCUUUUAGUCACAUGUCUGUGGAACUUGUUCAGUUUAUGUCUCAGGUGUUGAAUCUUGUUAUGUUCAUACAAAUAUGAACAUAACCAUUCCACAAACUGUCAUUCUUGCUCUGGGCCGAUUCAUUCAAAACUGCUGACAAAGUAUGGGAUUUCUGUUAAUUAGCAGUCAAGAGUGCUUUAUUCGCCUGUGCUUACUAAUGGUUGUUCAAUUUAAUCAGCUGAGAUCUCAUCGAAUGUGAAAAAUGAAAUGAACUGUGACUCUGAGUCUAGAUCACGUCUCUUUUCCCGGCAGAGAUCAGAGAACGUCUGGGGGUUUCACUCCAACUCAGGCCACUUCAUUUUUGGCUAGCACUGGGGCAGAAUUGGUGGGAACAAAGCUAUGCAUCUUUCCUGUCUCACCCCGGGGAUGCCAUUUUUCUCCUUUCCGAAGCCAUCUCAAAGCUGAAGCAAAUUGGAUGAGGCCUCUAACAAGGGUUUGUCAGUGAAACACAAUCCUUUCACAAACCUGAAUGAUGUUAUCACUCAUCUUUUCACUGUCUCUCUCAGAGUUGUGAUGAACAGCUUGUCAGAGCUGAACAACAAACUGAGGGUACAUCCCAAAUGGCAUCCUAUUUCGUACAUAGUGCACUACAUUUGACCAGAGUCGUAUUGGCCAUGGUCAAAAGUUGUGCACUAGCACUAUAGGGAAUAGGAUGCUUUUUGGGAUUCAUUCAUGGGUCCUUUGAAAAGUCUGAGGGGGGCUGAGGGGACUGGGAGAAGAAGAAUGGUGAUUUUUCGAGGAAGAGAGCUCUGUAAAGAUCAUAUUUCAUCUUCAAGAAAUACUUAAUAGCAUACAAAUGAGCUUGACUGAAUUACGGCCUACAUCUACUGUAUUUGUUUGAAUUGUUUGUCUUACUGUAAAUUGUGUUUAGACACCCACUUCUUAAAUUGAUGUUAUUGGAUUCAAUAUUUAGAAUUAAACCUAUACAACUGUAUCAAUGCAAAUAUUUAUUGUGAAAAGUUAAUUAAUAUAGUCUCUUUUGAUCAAAUAAACCAUGCCACACCAUAGGUACCUGUUUAAUUUCACACAGUUUAGACAUUCUCGCUAGAUGGCAGUACUCCCCCAUGAUGCAAAUCAGGUGCAAAAUGGCUCACUCUACUAUGGAGAGAUGGUGCUAAGAUUUGUGUGUCCUCUCCCUGUUUGCUGAGUUCAUGAGUUGAAUUACAAACAAUGGGCUGUUUCUUUUAAAAUGAAAGAUUAGGUCAUGAUGUAUAAAAUAUCUGCUUGCUAAAUUGCAAUAAAACUGUUUGACUUA